CAGCAAUCACGUGGUUAGCCUGGGUUUGGGUGACCAUCGUGAGAACAGAGGAGCCGUGGUAGCAACGGGGGAGAAGAAGCCCAGGAUUGACAACACAGUUCUCACAAGCGUUAAACCCAGGGCAGGAAUUUGGUCCGAGCACAAUAGUGAAUUAGUUACCAUGGAAACCGUCCUGACGAGAGUGCUCAAACUAAAACGCACAAUCAGGCCUGGGAGAUGACUUGGCGGUGAAGAGCACACACUGGGAGAUGACUUGGUGGUGAAGAGCACACACUGGGAGAUGACUUGGCGGUGAAGAGCACACACUGGGAGAUGACUUGGUGGUGAAGAGCACGCACUGGGAGAUGACUUGGUGGUGAAGAACACGCACUGGGAGAUGACUUGGUGGUGAAGAGCACGCACUGGCAGAUGACUUGGUGGUAAAGAGCACGCACUGCCUUUGCGGGGGCUCUGGGUCAGUUCCUGGUACCCACAUGUGGAUACACAACUACCAGUAACUCCAGUUCCUGGGGACCUAACACCCUUCUGUUCUCCAAAGGCACCAGAUAUGUAUGUGGUACAUAUACAUACAUGCAAAUAAAACAUUCAUACACAUAACGUAAAAAAAAGAAGAAUCAAAGAAAGAGUCAAAGGCUGUAGUGGUGCACAAUCUCAGAACUCUGGGAGAGGGAGCCGGAGGAUCUCAAAUUUGAGGCUAGUCUGGGCUGUAGUGUCCAGAACAAUGGCGAGCAGAUAAGCUCGGUGUCUUCUAAACUCAUCUUUUAUGUCCCAGAGAAAAGCUAGUGCCAAGGUUGGGGGAUAAGGCCCAGGACGUGCCUAAGAUGGAGCUUCUAACAGGAAGUUCAUGCCUAGAACAAGAGUUCUCAAGCGACUGCAUUCAGAUCAAAGACUGAAAUAGAUAAAGCCAGAACAAUAAGGGGACAGCUAGGAAGCCUGUCUCAACCACAUCCCUUUGAAAAUUUGUUUUCUCCUGAUGAGUCAGGCCCCACAUGAGUGUUUAUUCUGACAUCAUGCUGCCUCUGUGCUUCCAAAAUAUUAAAUUAGAGAAUUAAAUGCAAAGCAGUUUUAGUAUAGCAGUGUCCUAAAACAAAUGGGAACAGCAAAGGCAGCACUAAAGACAUUAGCCAGGCUGAAAACCACCGGUCCAUAGGAGUUCCGGGACAAGUGGAUAUUCUAUAGUCCACAUUUACAAAGUAAGAGUUCUGAUGACUGUGAGAGCCCACAGAGAAAAGAAGCUGAGAACAACCACAAACGCCUCAUUCAUUGGAACAGUCUGGAAAGUCAUGCAAACAUAACUGGUCUUAAUCUGUUUAUCAAGUAUUCUCAAAGAAAUAGGAAACAGGAACUUGGAGUCUUGAAAUAAAAGCGGCACCAAAGCUAACACUGUGUCAGUUAGGAAGCAGAUCCGACACAGGUGAAGCAAGUCCACGACCUAGGAAACAGAUGAAAGCGUUUGAUCAAAUACAAUCCAGAGGCCCCAUCAGAUGGGGAAUGUGCAAGAGAGCGUAGGAAGUUUGGAGGGUAGAUGAGACCAUCUAACGUGCAACCAAAGGAGCAAUAUUGAAGAUAGAAUGAAUGAGAACGUUUCAGAACUUUUCGAAGGCAACAAAUUCACAGAACCAAAGAUCCCAAAGGAUCUUGAGAGGAGAGGAAGGGGGAGGAAGGACUCCAUAGCUUCUUUCUGUUGUUGUUACUGUUGUUUUUUUUGUUUGUUUUGUUUUGUUUUGUUUUGUUUUUCAAGGCAGGGUUUCUCUGUGUAGCCCUGGCUGUCCUGGAGCUCACAGAGGUCUGCCUACCUCUGCCUCCCGAAUGCUGGGAUUAAAGGUGUGCACCACCACUGCCCAGCCCAUAGCUUGAUUUAUUACUUGUGAACCUGAUGAACAUUAAAAAAAAAAGAGAGAGAUUCUAAGAUUAGUUCUCAAAGUCAAUGGAAAUAUUUGUAAGAGCAUAAAGUCUACAGCAGGCUUUUUUUUUCUGGGUGGGUGAUUAUGACUUGUGUUAGCCCUGAACCUUAAUGCUAACACCCUAUAGUUGCAGAAGCACUGUCUAGUAAACACGACCGAGGCUGCAGCAAUGGCCUGAACACCAUGUUUUACUGAAGAGGCACACAACACAGCGAGCUAGAGUCUGCUGGACCAGGGCCAGGACUCAGGUCGUUCAACUCAGCUCCAAGGGCAGUCAGUCGUUGGAAAUAUUUUGCUCUUAUUCUAGUGGUAUUUCUUUAGUAUGUUUAGCAAAAGCAAAGAAAAAACAAAAUGUGAGGAACAUUACAGUUUAAUCUGUCAGGACAUUUUUUGGGGGGGUGCCAUUCUUAUUUCGUGUAUGGGAUUUAAUACUUGGCCACAUUACUAGUCUCUAGGAAGACUGGGCUCAGCUGCUCACCCUGUUCCUGGUGAAAGGGAGAGAAGCCUUGACUCAUUUCCUUCUAGUGUGGAAGAAGGUAUGAGGUAGAAGAGGAAGGUUGUAGACUCGUGUUUAAAGCUCAGGCACAGAGAGUUUGGCACAACAUUGGCUGGAAGGCAACAGAGGACAGGCAGGAGACACCUCAGUAUAUCCAAAGGCUUUGCUGGGAACUAAAUAUACAGGGAAAGGGGAGCCAAGCCAUAGCGUGGCCUUUGACUCAGACAGCUCAGGAGAGGUGGUAGGGGCCAUCCGACUUGCUUUACUUCAGCUCAUGUCAGAACUGGUGUGGCCUGCUGACUAAAAUGUUUACGUCAAAGACCCACAAGGAAGACAGUUUACAGGGGAAAGGAACGGUGACUUCAAGAUGUAUCACUCUGCUUCUUCACGAAGAGAAAGUCUCAUAUGCGCUCACCACAAAGUGUUUCUUGUUCUCAGCUAAUGUACCGCAGAGAUAGCCCUACCGGGUUUGAAAACAUCGGCAGCUGGCAGCAAUACAGUCAAAAGAGAUUGCUUAACUGAGGAGGAGAAGUUGCUCGCUGAUGUGAGCCUGGACACGGUACAGAAAUCAAACAAAGCCUUAGAUGGUUUCUGCAGAAUGUACAGUUCUCAAUCCUCACUAGAAUAGCUUUCCUGGCACGGCCCUGACUUCCAUCAGCUGGUUUGUUGUUUGUUUUUGAAGGGAAGCAUGAGAUUUUCCAGACUGCAACACUUUGGAUUUGGAAGCUCGGCCUCAAAGUAAAGCAUACUGUCUCUUUAAACCGAUUCUCUCGGAAAGGAGCAGGCUUGUCUGUGCCCGAUGCAUUCAUUUCUCAGUGACACAAAACACUAAAUAAAAAGAAGUUUGUUUUUCUCAGGACACCACGGGCUUAUGUUUAGAGCCAGUAAAAGUAUCACUAACUCCAUUCUUGGUGUACAGGAUGCUCCAAGACGCUUCUAGAACAGACCCUAUGCACUCGUAGGUAUCAUUUAAAGGCAACCGUAGAAAACAAUAAGCACCAGCAAGAGGAGUCUGUGAAAAGGUAAGGCAUGUGUUUGUAGAAAUGAGGAAAGAAGGUUCUAGACUUUAGCAUUUAAGACCCAAAGAAGGAAGCUCAAAGUAGUAAAUACAAUAGCAAAAUUGCCCUGGUGGAAAUGUGCCAACAGCAUUUAAAAAGUUUAUAUAAAUAUAUCACAUGCCUUUCUCUGUUUUCAAGCCAGGCAGAUUAGUUCACAUCUGUGACCCCAACAUUCAAGAGGUUUAGGCAAGAGGAUUGCCACAAGUUCAAGGCUAGCAUGGGCUACAUAGUGAAUUCUGAACCAGCCUGGGUUACAUAGAGAGACAUUGUUUCAAAGAUAAAGCAAAUAUGUGUGUGUGUAUUCUGAUGUAAAUGUGUGAGUUUUCAAGAAAGGACGUCAACUGCAGUGCUUGCUAGUUAACUAAAAGCAAGGUUCAAAAAUGGGCUUUGCCUAAACUUUUAAGAAAGAAUUUAUCAUUUAAUGUGUAUGUUUUAUGUGUACCACAUGCACACAGCGCCUGAGAUUCAUGUACAUCACAUGCAGGCAGUGUCUGUGGAAGCCAGAAGUAGGGACCAGAUACCCAGGGAAUUGAGUUAUAAACAGUUGUGAUUUGUCAUAUGGGUGCUGGGAACCCAACCCAGGUCCUUUGCAAGUCAGCCAGUGUUUGUAACACCGGGCAUCUCUCUACCCCAGUGCCUAAACUUGCUAUCCUGAGGAUAACACGCCCAGCAAGAGGUGAAGCUGUCCUUGAUGGGGUGUGAGGGAGAAAGUUGGCUAGCUGGCUGUCCGGACUCACUCUAUAACCAGCCAGUCAGCUUGAGGUGCUUAAGUGUCACAUGUGUGAUUUGGUUUAUCAAAUGUGGUAAACAAAGCAAACAUUUAUUAAAUAAAUUUCAUAUCACCUCAACAGUAUCACAACUGUGAAAAUUAGUGGGGCAGAUUAUGAUCGAUUUGUUACUACUUGACAAUAACCCUAACUAGAUUUUCUUAACGUA